rnacentral:rRNA from 1 species
GAUGAACGCUGGCGGCGUGCCUAAUACAUGCCAGUCGAGCGAACGGACGAGAAGCUUGCUUCUCUGAUGUUAGCGGCGGACGGGUGAGUAACACGUGGAUAACCUACCUAUAAGACUGGGAUAACUUCGGGAAACCGGAGCUAAUACCGGAUGAUAUUUUGAACCGCAUGGUUCAAAGGUGAAAGACGGUCUUGCUGUCACUUAUAGAUGGAUCCGCGCUGCAUUAGCUAGUUGGUAAGGUAACGGCUUACCAAGGCAACGAUGCAUAGCCGACCUGAGAGGGUGAUCGGCCACACUGGAACUGAGACACGGUCCAGACUCCUACGGGAGGCAGCAGUAGGGAAUCUUCCGCGAUGGGCGAAAGCCUGACGGAGCAACGCCGCGUGAGUGAUGAAGGUCUUCGGAUCGUAAAACUCUGUUAUUAGGGAAGAACAUAUGUGUAAGUAACUGUGCACAUCUUGACGGUACCUAAUCAGAAAGCCACGGCUAACUACGUG